rnacentral:rRNA from 1 species
GACGAACGCUGGCGGCGUGCUUAACACAUGCAAGUCGAACGGAGUGGCGAACGGGUGAGUAACGCGUAAUCAACCUGCCCUUCCGAGGGGGACAACAGUUGGAGACGACUGCUAAUACAGCAUACUGAAGGAGGGGAUUGAGGGGGAUUAUCUAGUUGGAGUGGUAACGGCCCAACAAGGCGAUGAUCAGUAGCCGGUCGGAUGGGAUUAACGGCCACAAUGGGACUGAGACACGGCCCAGACUUCUACUGGAGGCAGCAGUGGGGAAUCUUCCGAAAUGGAAGAAAGUCUGACGGAGCAACGCCGCGGGAGUGAUGACGGCCUUCGGGUUGUAAAGCUCUGUUAAGCGGGACGCGGUACCGGAAUAGAAAGCCACGGCUAACUACGUGCCAGCAGCCGCGGUAAUUC